AGCCAUGAGGUGGAGGCUCCCUCUUUGGGACAGGUGCCCCCCAUCUAGGGGAGCUCGGGCCACCCGGGCCUUCAGCCUCUGCACCAGUUACAGUACAGGCUUUGGCAGCUUGUGGCCGUCUCUGAGCCCUGGGCAGGUGUCCCUGUUGCCCUAAAGCGUCACAGAUGACGUCUCGCUCCUGUGGUGAGGCAACUGGCUGGAGCCCAUCUUGUCACCAUUUCAGGUAGUCUGGGACUUGCCAUGCUUUGCUUUUAAAGAAUAUUAAGAGAUCAAGCUUCUUAAUUUGCUUUUCUGAAACAGAAAACCACUUUGUGUUCAGCUGGAAUACUUGGACCACUGAAUCUUCACAUGGAUACGUCCUGGUAGGAUCAGACCAUGGACAUCCCUGGGAGAUGAGGGCACUGACUCCAUCCAACAUCAGAUUGCUUUCAAUUGCUUUGUAGUUUUCCUUUUACCAAAGGGCUAAGAAUUAACGUUAGAAAAGCACUGAUGAGACAAAUACAAACCUGCUUAUAUGAUCAACUCCUACCAGCUGAUUGUAAUGGAUGAUUAGCAUCCACUAGGACUGAAAUUAAAAAGGUCAUGGUACAUAUAGGUGGGAAAAUAAAUUUACUGAGGUGAAUAUCAUUAAAACAAAAUGUGUUGCAUCUGAAGUGUGUGUGCAAAUACUAGGUUUUUUUUAAAAUGUCUUCCACAUUUUAUUGGAAAGAAAUAGAUCUUCAGGGAAAGUAUAUUUUCAUUUUGUUUUAAUUCGUGUUUGAGAAGCAUCUUUUCCAGACCACUGUCCGUAGAACUGAUUUCCUCUAAGACCUUCAAGGAGUUUACUGUGUUCUGCCUUUGCAACAGAAAUCCAGACACUUUUGCAAAGUCUUGUGCUGCCAGCUCUGUGGGAGGAAGCCCAGUGUCUCCAGCAUGGCUGUAUGGCCAAGCUUUGGCGCUGCUGGAACCUCUAGAACCCAAACCCACGGCCACAUCCUCUCCUGAGCCACAAACCGCAGAUCCACCAGCUUCCAGCCAUCGGCCAGACGCCAGUCGUAUGUUAUUGAAGCAGUUGAUUGUCGUAGCAACAUCGCUCAAACAGGAGCUGAAAAGGAACAAGCUAGUAGUUAUAGGACUGCAUUUUUGCUAGCUGUUGGGGGGAUUUUUGUCUUUUAUGAUUUGUAUAACUGUAAAGUUCCCCGUAGCAGUUUCAACUGCAUGAUUUUACACUAGUAAUCCUUCUUUCUCUCUUCUUUUUCAGACGCCAGUCGUAUGUUAUUGAAGCAGUUGAUUGUCGUAGCAACAUCGCUCAAAUAGGAACUGAAAAGGAAAAAGCUAGUGGUUAUAGGACUGCAUUUUUGCUAGCUGUUGGGGGGAUUUUUGUCUUUUAUGAUUUGUAUAACUGUAAAGUUCCCCGUAGAGAAGCAAAUACAAUGGUAAAAGGAUAUGGAAAAUGUUACUAAAAUGAUGUUAUUUGUAUUUGUGUUUGUUUUUGGCUUCAUUGUCCAUGAAAACCUAACAAUGCAGAGCUAAGCGAAGCUACAUAGUUCUUUAUUUUUGUUAUGUUUUUCCAAAAGAUUGAUCCAAAGCCUGGAUAGUGCUGCUUCUAGUACUUGCA
rnacentral:lncRNA from 1 species